rfam:Daucus carota subsp. sativus cultivar DH1 chromosome 3, whole genome shotgun sequence.
AAAUCAAUUGAUGAAAAAAUAACUGCAACAAUAUGAAUCUCUGUGAUUCUUAGUAUUUAAGUCUCUGAUGAUU